rnacentral:rRNA from 1 species
CAAGCGUUGUCCGGAUUUACUGGGCGUAAAGAGCGUGUAGGCGGUCCGGUAAGUCCGCUGUGAAAGUCGGGGGCUCAACCCUCGAAUGCCGGUAGAUACUGUCGGGCUAGAGUACGGAAGAGGCGAGUGGAAUUCCUGGUGUAGCGGUGAAAUGCGCAGAUAUCAGGAGGAACACCUAUUGCGAAGGCAGCUCGCUGGGACGUAACUGACGCUGAGACGCGAAAGCGUGGGGAGCAAACAGG